GCUCAGAGCUUCGUUGCGACAGCUCCGUGUUGCAAUUUUUAUGGUUAGGUAGGUGAAGUCUCUUUAAUUCAGCCAGCUCAAUUCACUUAAAUUUGCAUGAUAAUGUGGUUAAUUAUCCAUAUAUUUCAAAUGAAUAAUGAUUUCACAAAAAGAUAAGAACAGGGUCCUGUUUUUUUCUUUCCCUAUGUUUUAAAAAUGCGCAUAGAGUUUGCAUAAUUAAAAUGUAUUUUCUCUGGAGUGGAAAUUCAUAUCUAUUGUAGGUUGAAGUGCAAGCUGCUCUGCAUGCUGGGAUGGCAUCCUCCAGUGGAUCCAUGUGCAAGGAUGGAGUCCUUCAGGCACUCACUCAGCAGACCUGACUCACCAUGGCUUGCUGCCAUGUCAGUGCUGACCAAAGGAAGUUCUGGGAAUGUGACUCCAGCCUGGUUAAUAAUCACUGUAAAGGGCCGUGCAGAACGAGCUGCCACCCAGGCCCUCAAUGGCUUUGCUGUGGGGUGGCAGCAGUGCUUGGAAAGGGCAGCAGUCCCUUCCUCUUAUCUCUGUGCAGAUAAAGUGGCUGGUGGCAAAGGGCACUUCCUCAUGUGCUGCUGCUCAGGCCCUUUCAGUCCCUGACCUUUCCCUGUGGUCUGUGCAUCCAGGAGCUCCAGGGCAGGCUGGAGUUCCUGGAUGGAAGUGAGUGCUUGUGAUGGGGAUGGGGUGGGCAGUACCAGGUCACUGUGGAUGUUCAGCUCUUGCAUAACCACACAUCCCUGAAGCAGGGCACUGCUCUGGAGAGCCCCAAAACCCUUCCUGGCCCAAGGAGCAAUAAGCAUUGUUGAUAUUUUUCCACCUUUCCCUACAUCUCUUUUUUUUUAAGAAUUAACUCAAGUUUUUCAGAAAGAAAAAAGAAAAGAAGUAUCUUUUUUCCAUUUUAAAAAAAGACCCCAUAUAAAUGGGGUUGUGCCCCUGUUUUUCUGUUGUCUGGCUCUGUUUGAAGCCCUUUCCUUGUCCUUUCUCCAAAAUACAGACAAGGUGGCUGAGUACUGGGAAGCACCCCUUGUGCCUGUGUGGGAGGAGGGGGUGCCUAGUCCAGAUGCCAGCUAGUUGGUUAAUGAGAUUAAUGACAUUGGGGAAUUGAAACUACAGCCUUUGAAAGGGAAAGGAUCAUCUCUGCUGCUCCCUUUACACUGUUGACUUCGUUUGCUCUUGCAUGAAUGGUUACUUGGCUGGCAUGUGGUUGGGCAAAAAAAUUUAUUGGCCCUUGGAGAUGAGGAAACUUAACAGGGUGAUAGAAGGAGAUUGUGAGGGGGCUCAAGAUGCAUCCUUUCCUGUGGCAGAGGGAAAGGAUGCUCCCACUGGGACCUGAGCAGUGCACAGCACCCCAAUGUAUCCGAGACAUAUGAAUCUCCAAGUCUGCUAGUGUUUGAACCAAUGUUAAUUAAAGCAUUUUAAUGAGGAUGUUUUGAGAACUGUGUGUUAGUCUGUGCAUGCCCUUCGUGAAAUAUUAAACAUCUCUGCCCUUUCAGCAGCAUCCUCCUCCUCAGAAAGUCUUCCUGCAAAUGGAUUUUGACACUCCUGAUAAUUUUGGAGCUAAGGAACCCAGAGAAAUAACCUUCUACAAAAAUCUUAAUAUGAUCUUUGAUGUUGUAGUCAAAGGAGCACAUGCCAGAAAAUGUUUUGCUCUUUUCAGUUCAUCCUCUGGUUGUUUGUUGUUAUUUUACCAGUUCAUCCUCUGCUUGUUUGUUAUUUAUAUUUCAGGCGCGACAAAAAGCAGCUGAUUAACUCAUUAGGCACAACCAUCAAAGCACAGGGUGAGAGCACAAAAUCUGCUCCUGCAGCCGCUCCCCACAGCUCAGGGGGUUCUGCAGGGCCUGGCUGAGGUACAAAAUACUCAGUUACUUGUGGAUAGCAGUGUGCCCUGUCUUUCUCAAGCCUUGUCUUUCUCAAGCUGUCCUCACUGAGGGACUGUGGCUGUGCCAGAGGGUCUCAGGCUCUGUCCAGGGGGACAGCCCAAGCUCCAGAUUAUGUGUUCAUCAGCCAGCAGGUACAGGUAGCCCCACAGUGGGGAAAGUCCCCUGUGGAGAACCAUAGGCAUGAGACAGAGAGGGAAAGUACUGCAUGGUGCUGCUCCAAGCUGAAAGACCACUUGGUGGACAGGUAAUACAGAGAGCACACAUACAGAUUUUGAAGGCAGCUCCUAACUAUCAAACUCACCAGAGCUGCAGGAGCAACUGAAACAGAUAAUGCUAACUUUCUCUUGCAGGUUCAGCUCAGGUGGAAUUAUACUCAAGGCAGUAGUUUGCACCUGGGUGCUGCUGCCUUGGAUUGAAGGCUUACCAAGAUGUUUUCUCCCCUAAGUGAUGUGCUGUGCAGCAGUGUGGCUGUCACCCAGCCUUGAAAGGACCAGCAGUGCCCCAGAUCUCGCUGGUGGAGGUCAUACUUAAAUCUUGCAGACCCAGCUGCCUGUCUGUGCAAGUCCUACAGAAAUGGCACAGGAGCUCAGCAAGUCCAUGGCCUCUCGGGAGCCUCCCAAGAACCUUGCUGUACAGGAGACAUCCAAAAGAUCAGCAGGUCUUUAUCAGGUUUCUGCCUCCUCCUUGUUUGUACCCCUCAACCAAGUGCCUUGACUCUGGGUGUGUGAAGUAAAAUGGACCAAGCUGGAUAUGCCCAGGGGCCUCACCAAAUCUUAUUCUGGCUUUAAAGCCUCGUGAAACUUCUAUCAUUCAUUAGGUGUUCAGUAUCCCACCCACAACAACUGUGGUUUACCUGACCACCUUGAUGUCCUCCUCUAAGGGAAUUACCACAGUCCCAUGGGGCUUGAAUGCAGUCCAACACCACCUUGCAGCUACACACACAGGAGGAGAACAGUCAGUAUUUACUGGCAAUUCUGAGUUCAGGUCCAUUGUGCAUGGCACUGCCACAAAGGGAAAAGACCAGAUUUUGCACCUGCAGAGCUAAAAAAAGGGCUCAUAGAUCAAGUCCUUGUUCUCCUAGAGCACAAGUCUUUGCAAGGAGGCUGCUCAUACUGGCAGCCCUGUAGGAUCAAAGCUGAUCCUGGAAAACUCACCAGAUAGUUGAUGAGUCUGUAGCAUAACCAAUGGCAAAAUGAAGGAGAGGAGCCUGGAUUAAAGUAUUUUUACAUGACCCAAUCUUCAGAAUCCCAGCCCUGGCAGUGAUGCCACUCCUGAACUCCCAAUUCUCCAGUGAUCCCCUCUCUCCUGCAGCCCAAUCAGCCUGUGAUUCAUUUUGCAUUGAGCAAAAAAAUCAAAAGCUGAGGCUUGGAUUUGCACAUCUGCCACAUAAACAGGCCUGUUUGCAAAGACCAGUGUGCACUUGUACACCCACCAUGGGCUCUGUUAGCACCUGAAACCAUCUCCUGACAGGAUGCUCCAGGGAAGGAGGAGUAAGGAGGCAUAAUCCCAAAAUGAAGUCAUGCCAGGAAAUGGUUAUGUUUUUUUGCUUUUACAUAAGGAGGUGUCACAGUGCUGCUGAGAAAUAGAUACCCAACAGCCAGCCACAGGCAGUGUGAGAUGACAGAUACAUGUUUAAAUAAUGUCUUUAUUCCAGUUCAGCUGAAAAAAUAAUUUUUGAAUUUGGGUCUUAAGCCAAGAAGUACCUUUGUAUCUGAGAGCUCAUUGAUUAAAACAAUUUGUGGUUUCAGCUGGGUUCUAAGAAAGACACUACAUUACCCUUCACACAGAAUAUUAAAAUAAUAUCUGUAUUUGGGAGGACAGAGGAAUUUAGAGUGACCUCAGUAUUUCUUGAGAUUUGAAGAAUUUCACCCAGCCUAGAGAAGCUUCUACUUUUAAACUCAGGGAUUUCUGCUAGAACAGGAAGUUUCUCUUGCAUUGUUACCCGGCAAAAUGAGCUCUGGAUUAUAUUUAGCUCCAUUCAUUCAGCACAAUGAAAAGUAAGACUCCAGCCAAUUUCCUUAAGCAAGUUUAUUAAUAAGCACUAGUUGUUUGGUGACUGGUCAUUUCUAGGUGGCUGGAGGACAUGACAUGCUGCAAAACCUCCCUCCCUCCCCUGAACAAGUUCCUAGUGGAUUGGACAACUUGAAGCACUUUAUAACCUGUGCUGGGUACCUGUGCGAGCCUGGCAGCCUGAACAUUGUCCCAGGUACAGCUUCCAGUCCUGCCCUGGUCACUGUUGCUUGGUUCAUGCUUCACUGGAGCUUCAUCAAGGACAGCUGAGUAGCUUUUAAGCUUGAAGUAGGGGCUUCUGACUGCAGGCUCGAGGCAGCUGUGUGUGCAUGAGACCACCAUCACUGCAGCUGCUGAGCUGGAGGAAACCACACUCACUGCAGGUACAGCAAUCACAACAAAGCCUCCCAGCACGUGGAAGCACAUGCUGCAACCACACACAAGGAACUUGGGUCAGCCAGUGGCCUGCCCAUAAAUCCAGGCUUCAUCCAUUGCUUUCUGUGUAUCUGAACACAAAUUGCUAGGGGUGUGUACCUGCUGAGGGCUAGAAAACAACUUGAGGUGUUUUUAAACUUGACAAACUUCAUGACCUUUUCAUCUCUAUUGUUUGCUCUCACUUGGUCUCAAAAUAUCUGUUGUGUUUUUAGGGUGGGCUGAGCUCAAAUUAUCUCCUGCCUGUGCUCA